CCGGAGAUGGGGACUGAGACAAGGCCCCAGGCCCUACGGGGCGCAGCAGGCGCGAAAACUCCGCAAUGCGCGAAAGCGUGACGGGGGAACCCCCAGUGCCGCUGGUCUCACGAUCGGCGGCUUUUCCGGAGUGUAAGGAGCUCCGGGAAUAAGGGCUGGGCAAGGCUGGUGCCAGCCGCCGCGGUAAUACCAGCAGCCCAAGUGGUGGUCGCGAUUAUUGGGCCUAAAGCGCUCGUAGCCGGGUCGGCAAGUCCCCCGUGAAAUCGGACCGCCCAACGGUUCGGCUUGCGGGGGAAACUACCGGCCUAGGGGCCGGGAGACGUCCGGGGUACUCCGGGGGUAGCGGUGAAAUGCGUUGAUCCUCGGAGGACCACCCGUAGCGAAGGCGCCGGACGAGAACGGUCCCGACGGUGAGGGGCGAAGGCUGGGGGAGCGAACGGGAUUAGAUACCGUGAGGUGUCUCCCCUGCCGGCGACGGCAGGGUGUAAGUGGCGGGGCCAGCCCUAGGUUCCGCCACGACCCAGCUGUAUCGGCGAAGCCCCACGGGGGUAACGCCGAGGGAAGUCGGAGGUAAAUAACUCCGACCCCGUAGAGACUAGUGAUGGAGGCGGGACAGAAGGGGCCAUCCGCCCCUUUGUCGGAGGAGGCCAGGCAGGUGAUCCUGGGAACCCUUCUGGGGGACGGCUCCCUCAGGAGGUACGAGGGCUACGCCCAUCCCAGGCUGGUGAUCAGGCACAGCGCCAAGCAGAGGGAGUACCUGGAGUGGAAGGUAGGCUUCCUCCAGCGGGAACUCGGAGGGAGAAUCACGGAGGUGCGGGAUCCCACUUCCAGGGAUCAGGAGAAGGCGGUGUACGUGAGUUCGGCGAGCCCCAAGCUCCAGGAGAUCUUCCAGCUCACCUCCAAGGGGGUGCGGAGGAAGUGGCUGAACCAGCUCCGCCCCCUUGGUCUGUGCGUCUGGUGGCUGGACGACGGCAGUCUGGUGAGGAACAGGACCCAGGCGGUGCUCUGCACGGACAGCUUCACCCUCAAGGAGGUGAAGGUGGCGAGGAGGUACUUCCAGAAGGUCUGGGGUCUGCCCUUCAGGGUGGCCCCGGCCGAGAGGGGAACCCAGAGGUACAGGCUCUGGCUUCGCUCCACCUCCGAGACCAAGAGGUUCCUGAAGCUCAUAGCACCCUUCGUGCCGGAGUGCAUGAAGCAAAAGGUCCUCCUCUACCGAAAGCCUUCAUCACGGAAACGCUGGGCAUCUGAGAUAGCGGGGCUCGUGAGGUUUGCUAUCUCAGAUGAAGACAUAGUCCAGGCCUCGCGGCAACGUGAGGGUCCCUGACCCCGGUAGUCCCAGCAGUAAAGGAUGCGGGCCAGAUGUUGGGAGUCCCUCGAGGGCUCCCAGUGUCGGAGGGAAGCCGUUAAGCCCGCCGCCUGGGGAGUACGGCCGCAAGGCUGAAACUUAAAGGAAUUGGCGGGGGAGCACCACAAGGGGUGG
rnacentral:rRNA from 1 species